CCAUGGCUUGGCCUUGAAGCUCAGGAGCAGCAGCUCAGUCUACAGAGCACAGAACGACUCUCCCUGAAGACAUGGGGUUGGAGGGAGCAGCUAAGCAGGAGCACCUUGGGGGACCUCACCUGCUGAGGGAUGAAAGAACUAGAGAAGGUGACGGCCGACCAGAAGAAGAUGCCGCAGCUGAGGAUCACCUUUCUAUUGAAGCGAUCGCCCAGGUAGCCAAAGAUGGGGGCAGCCACCAUGAAGCUGCAGAUGAACACUGUGGAAAGAAGAGAGAAGAGCUGGAGUUUGUGCUGAGCUCAGCUUGGAUCCAGACAGAGGAAGUGGCCCUGGAGGGACAACUUCAGUGCAUGGCACACAGAGCAGGAAGGGGGAAAUGUGCCAGAUUAGGGACACGGGGACUCCAGCUCUUCCAUCACCCCAAGCUUAUUCCAUGUCCUGUGGGCUUGGAACACUCCCUCAGAGUGCUAGCCCAAGGCUUACCGCAUCACCUCCAGGGGUUCCCCACUUCAUAGGUGAGAGCAAGACUCAGGGAAGCUGACUUGCCAAGGUCCCGCAGGCAAUAAAUGUUCUAGCAGAAAUGG
rnacentral:lncRNA from 1 species